rnacentral:rRNA from 1 species
CAAUAGCGUAUAUUAAUGUUGUUGCAGUUAAAAAGCUCGUAGUCGGAUUUUGGGAGCAUGUUGCACUGUCUGCCGAUUGGUAUGUACGGUUUAACGGCUUCAUUCCUUGACAAAACUCUGGUGGGCCUUCAUUGGUCUACUUGUUGGGUUGUCGUCUUUUACUUUGAAAAAUUAGAGUGUUCAAAAGCGAGGACAAUCGCUUAGAAUACUAUUAGCAGUAGGAAAUAAUAAGAAGUAGGUACUUUUGGUUCUUAUUUUGUUUGGUUUCUAGGACCGAAGUAAUGAUUAAUAGGGACAGGUUGGGGGCAUUAGUAUUUAAUUGUCAG